rnacentral:rRNA from 1 species
GUAACGGCGAGUGAAGCGGCAACAGCUCAAAUUUGAAAUCUGGCCGCAAGGUCCGAGUUGUAAUUUGCAGAGGAUGCUUUUGGCGAGGUGCCUUCCGAGUUCCCUGGAACGGGACGCCAUAGAGGGUGAGAGCCCCGUACGGUAGGACCACCGAGCCUUUGUAAAGCUCCUUCGACGAGUCGAGUAGUUUGGGAAUGCUGCUCUAAAUGGGAGGUGUACGUCUUCUAAAGCUAAAUACCGGCCAGAGACCGAUAGCGCACAAGUAGAGUGAUCGAAAGAUGAAAAGCACUUUGAAAAGAGGGUUAAAAAGUACGUGAAAUUGUUGAAAGGGAAGCAUUCAUGACCAGACUUGGGCUUGGUUGAACAUCCGGCGUUCUCGCCGGUGCACUCUGCCAGUCCAGGCCAGCAUCAGUUUGCCCCGGGGGACAAAGGCGGUGGGAAUGUGGCUCUCUCCGGGGAGUGUUAUAGCCCGCCGUGUAAUGCCCUGGGGCGGACUGAGGAACGCGCUUCGGCUCGGAUGCUGGCGUAAUGGUCAUCAAUGACCCGUCUUGAAACACGGACCAAGGAGUCGUCUUCGUAUGCGAGUGUUCGGGUGUCAAACCCCUACGCGAAAUGAAAGUGAACGUAGGUGAGAGCUUCGGCGCAUCACCGACCGAUCCUGAUGUUCUCGGACGGAUUUGAGUAAGAGCAUA